ensembl:lncRNA
GGUUUAAUCUCGUCGGGUUCCUGAUCACCAUGUUGGGGGUUAUUCUGCGAAAACAACAGGCUGGAUGUACAUUAUAUCUUACUUAACACACAAGACAUAUUCAACAGAGCAACGAAUCGACGAGUCACCAUGGAAAUGGACAAAAGCACGAUGGAAAUGGAGUGGGAGUGUUGGGGAGCUGGAUAAGAUGGAAGUGGCUGAGAGGAGACAAAAAUAAAACCCAAUUUCAACAAUAGCUCAAACCCCUGCCUCAGUGUCUACAGGAAGACGAGCCAGCGCACCAUCAGCAAGUCCUGGAAUUUUGUAUUCCGCUGUAGGGAGUUUUUUUAAGCUUUAUUUUUCACAGACGUCCUUGAAAAUAAGGCAGGGCGACUAAACAGUUGUGGCACUUAAAAAAAGUAUUUCUGGGAGAAAAAAAAGAAGUGAACCACCUGAAACCUAUGGACACUAACCGCUAAUUUUGUCCCUCUUCUUCUUCUUUUUUAGAGGCUACAGUGAGGUGGGAGCUUACAAUGGAAAUGAAUGUUGUUGGUUUUUAGAAGGUUUAAAUGCAGAAUAGCAAAGCUUGUAAUUGUAAAAUCACUUACAUUGUUAUUAUUUAAAGUUAUGUAUUAUUUCAGCUGCAAAGUUUUUCUUGUCAGUUUUAUGAUCAUUUAAGGUACAGUAGUACGCUGUCAUGGCAACAGUGUUGUAAAAUGAAAUAAAAUUUUACAUGGAAAAAUCUGGAAAGCUUUUAUAUAUUUUAUAUUUGCCACACUAAAAUCAUAUUAAUGCACAUUUUGAUUAAAUAUUGUGGAUUUUAUUGUGUCUAUUUUAACAUUGAUUUUUAUUAACAUUCAUCACAAUGUGUCCAUUCAUUUCCAUGUGAAGCUCAUAAUGUAUAAAUCAUGAAAAUCAUUGUUUAAAAAAAAUUAAUUGUUGUUAUUUUUAUCAUUUUAUUUAUUUAUUGUUAAAAGCUGUGCAUUAUUUGAGCUCUAAAGUUGUUCUUGUCAGUUUUAUGGUCAUUUUAGUCAGCUGUCAUAGCAACUUAGCUGUCAUAGCAACAAGCAUAUAAUUUUACAUAUAACUUUACAAGUUUAUUUAUUUAUUAAUGCCACACUAAACUCAUGUUAACACACUUUGUUUACAUAUUGUGGCUUUAUCAUUGUUUAAACAGUAUUAUUACUGUAUUAAAUUAUUUACGCUGACCCCAUUCAUUUCCAUUGUAAGUGUUUUAUUGUAACCCCGAUUUAGUCUUUUUUGUAAACAAAAAAAGAGAUGAGCCAAAAUGAAUGUUGAUUGAGUUGAACUUGUACUGAACCUGGAAUAUUCCUUUGAUUUUUCCUGAAAUUCCCCCUCUUGGUUUCUUUUUCCUUCAUGGAGUCACUGCUCGAUUAGCUUUGUGUGUCCAACAUGUGAAUCCUGUCUGACGUGUAUAGAACGGAUGGAUUAAGAGUUUUCUGUCCAUCCUGGUCAGAUGGCAUUACAUAUCAGACCUAUCAUCCCCUCAAAUGACAGCAAAUUACUGCGACGCUGUCAGGUAUGAGCUCUAAUCACACUCAGCUCUCCAGAGGGAAUAUAAUCACACCCCAGCCUCACUGCAACUCAGCAAAUGGAUUAAAAACUGCCCUCUGACAUCCACAGAAGACCUUUUCACAGAAAAACACCAUGGAUUUGCCAUAUAAUAUAACAUGGGAAAACCAUCACAGUAAUAUCAUGGUGUUCUUUGUAAAUACAAUGGUGUAUGAUGAUGACAUAGUACGACAGUGGCCCAAAAAAAGUACUUGAGCCACACUUAAAAUGUAUGAAUAUCAUUUCAUUAGAUAGCAAAAUUUGAAACCAAGUGGCAAACAAAUGACUUCAAAUGAUUUUCCCAGGAAUAAAUUACAUUUUCUUACCCAUGUUUUGAAACGAUAUUUAAAGUAACUGGUGUGUUGUUGAUUUUCAGAUUUUAACUAUGCCACCAUCGACACCGCGUCUUGUUUUGUUUAUAUGCUUGGACGGCUGCUGCAGCAGAACACUGAUUGAUUUGUUGCCAUGUCCACUCAUUAUAAGCGUCUUUGGGCUUGUUGUUUAGGCUUAGCUCAUAAAGAGAUCCAGUGUAUGGAACUGAUAGGGACAGGAAUAAAAAAAGGCAGGUGAUUAUGGAGGAGAGUAGGUCUUGUUUCCAAUAUAAAGCAUUUGGAUUUAUUCAGGAUUAUGGUUGUCUUGUUCGUUUUUUUUUUUUUUUUUUCUAGCAAUUAUGGUGCC